CUAGCAAUAGAGAACCCAGCUAGUGGCAAACGGGUGAGUAACGCGUGGGAAACUACCUUAUAGUACGGAAUAGCCUUGGGAAACUAGGAUUAAUACCGUAUACGCUCUUCGGAGGAAAGAUUUAUCGCUAUAAGAUGUGCCCGCGUUAGAUUAGCUAGUUGGUGAGGUAAUGGCUCACCAAGGCGACGAUCUAUAGCUGGUUUGAGAGGAUGAUCAGCCACACUGGAACUGAGACACGGUCCAGACUUC
rnacentral:rRNA from 1 species